rnacentral:rRNA from 1 species
GAUGAACGCUAGCGGCAGGCUUAAUACAUGCAAGGCGAAGGGGCAGCAAUGUCACUGUCGUACGGGUGCGUAACGCGUAUGCAACCUACCUAUCACUGGGGGAUAGCCCGGGGGAAACCCGGAUUAAUACCGCAUAACACAGGGGCUCCACAUGGAGAUAUUUGUUAAAGAUUUAUCGGUGGUAGAUGGGCAUGCGUUCG